CCAGACUCCUACGGGAGGCAGCAGUGGGGAAUAUUGCGCAAUGGGGGGAACCCUGACGCAGCCAUGCCGCGUGAAUGAAGAAGGCCUUCGGGUUGUAAAGUUCUUUCGGUAUUGAGGAAGGAGUGUAUGUUAAUAGCAUGCAUUAUUGACGUUAAAUACAGAAGAAGCACCGGCUAACUCCGUGCCAGCAGCCGCGGUAAUACGGAGGGUGCGAGCGUUAAUCGGAAUAACUGGGCGUAAAGGGCACGCAGGCGGUUAUUUAAGUGAGGUGUGAAAGCCCCGGGCUUAACCUGGGAAUUGCAUUUCAGACUGGGUAACUAGAGUACUUUAGGGAGGGGUAGAAUUCCACGUGUAGCGGUGAAAUGCGUAGAGAUGUGGAGGAAUACCGAAGGCGAAGGCAGCCCCUUGGGAAUGUACUGACGCUCAUGUGCGAAAGCGUGGGGAGCAAACAGGAUUAGAUACCCUGGUAGUCCACGCUGUAAACGCUGUCGAUUUGGGGAUUGGGCUUAAAGCUUGGUGCCCGUAGCUAACGUGAUAAAUCGACCGCCUGGGGAGUACGGCCGCAAGGUUAAAACUCAAAUGAAUUGACGGGGCCCGCACAAG
rnacentral:rRNA from 1 species